rnacentral:rRNA from 1 species
GACAAGUCGGAGAAGUGGGGAUGACGUCAAAUCAUCAUGCCCCUUAUGACCUGGGCUACACACGUGCUACAAUGGGCGGUACAAAGGGUCGCGAACCCGCAGGGGGAGCCAAUCCCAAAAAGCCGCUCUCAGUUCGGAUUGCAGGCUGCAACUCGCCUGCAUGAAGCCGGAAUCGCUAGUAAUCGCGGAUCAGCAUGCCGCGGUGAAUACGUUCCCGGGCCUU